AUUGAACGCUGGCGGCAGGCCUAACACAUGCAAGUCGAGCGGAUGAAGGGAGCUUGCUCCUGGAUUCAGCGGCGGACGGGUGAGUAAUGCCCAGGAAUCUGCCUGGCAGUGGGGGAUAACGUCCGGAAACGGGCGCUAAUACCGCAUCCGACCUGAGGGUGAAAGGGGGGGAUCUUCGGACCCCACGCUAUCAGGUGAGCCUAGGUCGGAUUAGCUAGUUGGUUGGGUAAAGGGCUACCAAGGCGACGAUCCGUAACUGGUCUGAGAGGCUGAUCAGCCACACUGGAACUGAGACACGGUCCAGACUCCUACGGGAGGCAGCAGUGGGGAAUAUUGGACAAUGGGCGAAAGCCUGAUACAGCCAUGCCGCGUGUGUGAAGGAGGUCUUCGGAUUGUAAAGCACUUUAAGUUGGGAGGAAGGGCAGUAAGUUAAUACCUUGCUGUUUUGACGGUACCAACAGAAUAAGCACCGGCUAACUUCGUG
rnacentral:rRNA from 1 species